rnacentral:rRNA from 1 species
AUUGAACGCUGGCGGCAUGCUUUACACAUGCAAGUCGAACGGCAGCGCGGGCUUCGGCCUGGCGGCGAGUGGCGAACGGGUGAGUAAUACAUCGGAACGUGCCCAGUAGUGGGGGAUAGCUCGGCGAAAGCCGGAUUAAUACCGUAUACGACCUGAGGGUGAAAGCGGGGGAUCUUCGGACCUCGCGCUAUUGGAGCGGCCGAUGGCAGAUUAGCUAGUUGGUGGGGUAAAGGCCUACCAAGGCGACGAUCUGUAGCUGGUCUGAGAGGACGACCAGCCACACUGGGACUGAGACACGGCCCAGACUCCUACGGGAGGCAGCAGUGGGGAAUUUUGGACAAUGGGCGAAAGCCUGAUCCAGCAAUGCCGCGUGUGUGACGAAGGCCUUCGGGUUGUAAAGCACUUUUGGCGGGAACGAAAAGGACUGUGCCAAUACCACGGUUCGAUGACGGUACCCGCAGAAUAAGCACCGGCUAACUACGUG